rnacentral:rRNA from 1 species
UAGGGAAUAUUGGACAAUGGGUGAGAGCCUGAUCCAGCCAUGCCGCGUGCAGGAAGAAGGCGUUAUGCGUUGUAAACUGCUUUUUGCCAGGGGAUAAAAAGACCGUGCGCGGUUAAUUGAAGGUACCUGGUGAAUAAGCCACGGCUAACUACGUGCCAGCAGCCGCGGUAAUACGUAGGUGGCAAGCGUUGUCCGGAUUUAUUGGGUUUAAAGGGUGCGUAGGUGGCCCUGUAAGUCAGUGGUGAAAUAUCUCAGCUUAACUGAGAGGGUGCCAUUGAUACUGCAGGGCUUGAGUACAGAUGAGGUAGGCGGAAUUGACGGUGUAGCGGUGAAAUGCAUAGAUAUCGUCAAGAACACCGAUAGCGAAGG